UGGGGAAUUUUGGACAAUGGGCGCAAGCCUGAUCCAGCAAUGCCGCGUGCAGGAAGAAGGCCUUCGGGUUGUAAACUGCUUUUGUCAGGGAAGAAAUCUUCUGGGCUAAUACCCCGGGAGGAUGACGGUACCUGAAGAAUAAGCACCGGCUAACUACGUGCCAGCAGCCGCGGUAAUACGUAGGGUGCGAGCGUUAAUCGGAAUUACUGGGCGUAAAGCGUGCGCAGGCGGUUAUGUAAGACAGAUGUGAAAUCCCCGGGCUCAACCUGGGAACUGCAUUUGUGACUGCAUGACUGGAGUGCGGCAGAGGGGGGAUGGAAUUCCGCGUGUAGCAGUGAAAUGCGUAGAUAUGCGGAGGAACACCGAUGGCGAAGGCAAUCCCCUGGGCCUGCACUGACGCUCAUGCACGAAAGCGUGGGGAGCAAACAGGAUUAGAUACCCUGGUAGUCCACGCCCUAAACGAUGUCAACUGGUUGUUGGACGGCUUUGCUGUUCAGUAACGAAGCUAACGCGUGAAGUUGACCGCCUGGGGAGUACGGCCGCAAGGUUGAAACUUAAAGGAAUUGACGGGGUCAUAGCUGUUUCCU
rnacentral:rRNA from 1 species